rnacentral:rRNA from 1 species
AUUGAACGCUGGCGGCAGGCCUAACACAUGCAAGUCGAGCGGAUGAAGGGAGCUUGCUCCUGGAUUCAGCGGCGGACGGGUGAGUAAUGCCUAGGAAUCUUCCUGGUAGUGGGGGAUAACGUCCGGAAACGGGCGCUAAUACCGCAUACGGCCUGAGGGAGAAAGUGGGGGAUCUUCGGACCUCACGCUAUCAGAUGAGCCUAGGUCGGAUUAGCUAGUUGGUGGGGUAAAGGCCUACCAAGGCGACGAUCCGUAACUGGUCUGAGAGGAUGAUCAGUCACACUGGAACUGAGACACGGUCCAGACUCCUACGGGAGGCAGCAGUGGGGAAUAUUGGACAAAGGGCGGAAGCCUGAUCCAGCCAUGCCGCGUGUGUGAAGAAGGUCUUCGGAUUGUAAAGCACUUUAAGUUGGGAGGAAGGGCAGUAAGUUAAUACCUUGCUGUUUUGACGUUACCAACAGAAUAAGCACCGGCUAACUUCGUG